rnacentral:rRNA from 1 species
AUACGGGAGGCAGCAGUGAGGAAUAUUGGUCAAUGGACGCAAGUCUGAACCAGCCAUGCCGCGUGAAGGAUGAAGGCCCUAUGGGUUGUAAACUUCUUUUGUACGGGACGAAACUAUGUUACGUGUAAUGUACUGACGGUACCGUAUGAAUAAGCAACGGCUAACUCCGUGCCAGCAGCCGCGGUAAUACGGAGGUUGCAAGCGUUAUCCGGAUUUAUUGGGUUUAAAGGGUGCGUAGGCGGGAUGAUAAGUCAGUGGUGAAAGCCUGUAGCUUAACUAUAGAAUUGCCAUUGAUACUGUCGUUCUUGAGUGUAGUUGAGGUGGGCGGAAUGUGUAAUGUAGCGGUGAAAUGCUUAGAGAUUACACAGAACACCGAUUGCGUAGGCAGCUCACUAAACUAUAACUGACGCUGAGGCACGAAAGCGUGGGGAGCAAACAGGAUUAGAUACCCUGGUAGC